AUGAUUAUACUAAUAAUCAUCAAACUGAUAAUUCUGCAGCAUUUUUCAGAAUCCAGUGAUGUUACACAGACACCAGUAUUAUGGGUUUCACAGGGUGAAUCUGCACAAAUGAACUGCAGUCAUACUAUGGGUGCAGGCUAUAGCUACAUGUACUGGUUUCAACAACGAAAGGGAGAAACAAUGAGACUCAUUGCUUUCACAAUGCUAGGCGGCAAGCCAGACUUUGGUGAAUUUUCUGUUGAUAAAUACUCAGCUGAAAAGACUGUAGUUGAUAAAGGGUCUUUCACAGUUCAAAAGCUGCAGCCCGAUGACAGUGGUGUGUAUUUCUGUGCAGUGAGUAAACACAGUGACACAGACCUACUGUGCUGCUGUACAAAAACCUAAAAUGUUCAUGCUCCCUAAACACAGAACAGGUGCUAUCACAGGUGUUAAUAAUGACAAUGAAAUUUUGCCGUUUGUUUGCAAUGCCACAAUAUAAUGAUUUUGACCACCAGCUUCCAAAUUAUAUAAUAAAUAAAUAAAUAAAUGAAUGAAUAAAUAAAUACCCAAAUUAAAUAAAUAAAUAAAUAAUAUCAGUUCAUUAAUAUUAUGACAAAAUGGCCUUGUUGUUACUCCUUCUGCAAGAUUCGAUGGAGGUAGCAUGAUGGCAUGAAGUGUUUAAUAAUCAGAAUUAAUAUGUAGUCACUUACAUUUAAGACACAAUAUUAUCAGUAUUGUUUUCUGUUUUUUGCUCCAUCAAUGAAAACAGUUUUAAACAAAGCCAAAGCAAAAGCUGUUGCAACACUGAACAACACAAUGGUUGAGCCACAAUAGAACAGGAAUCCAGCAGAUGGUGCUAAAGGCUAACAUUUACAGUAUAUUACAGGAGAAGUAGCUCACAUUCCUCAGGUUUUGGUGCCUCAAGUCAAUCUUCAAGUACAAACAUUUUCUUUAUUCUUUUUAUUUAUUUUUAUUUACUGUUCUUUAACUGGUGACAUAUCAUCAGUUAGAAUCAUUGUCAUUAGGGAUGUAGCGAUUAACCCGUUUCACGAUUAACCAUGCUUUUAACCAGAGUGUGUUAAAGUUGUAAAAGAUUGGAUGACCAAUAAUUUUCUCCUAUUAAAUUCAGAUAAGACAGAUAUAUUACUUAUUGGACCCCCCCCCCCAAAAAAAAAAAACAUUACACAGAAUCUCGUAGAUGACAGUUUGCAACUAGACGGAUGAACUGUUACUUCCUCUACAGUCAAAAAUCUGGGUGUUAUAUUAGACAGCACCUUGUCUUUUGAAAAUCAUAUUUCCCAUGUUACAAAAACAGCAUUCUUCCAUCUUAGAAACAUUGCCAAGCUACAAAACAUGUUACCUGUUUCUGAUGCAAAAAAAGCUAGUUCAUGCAUUCAUGACCUCUAGACUGGACUAUUGUAAUGCACUGCUAGGUGGUUGUCCUGCAUCUUCAAUAAA
ensembl:lncRNA